GAGCAAGGGCGUCUAUGAUAAUAAUGGCGUGAAUUGCAUUGAAGGUUGGCAAUACUAACGUUAGCGAUUCUCCGUGCCUGGCAAAUCUUUUGGUUUUGAUCAUGGCCUCGAACAAGUCGCUACAUU